AGGGUUCGAUCCUGGCUCAGGACGAACGCUGGCGGCGUGCCUAACACAUGCAAGUCGAACGAAGCUCGAUGCUUUGAGUUUUCGGACAAGAAGCAAAGAUGACUUAGUGGCGAACGGGUGAGUAAUGCGUGAGCAACCUGCCUUUCAGAGGGGGACAACAGUUGGAAACGACUGCUAAUACCGCAUAACAUAUUGAGUAGGCAUCUACUUGAUAUCAAAGGAGCAAUCCGCUGAGAGAUGGGCUCACGUCUGAUUAGCUUGUUGGUGAGGUAACGGCUCACCAAGGCGACGAUCAGUAGCCGGUCUGAGAGGAUGAACGGCCACAUUGGGACUGAGAUACGGCCCAG
rnacentral:rRNA from 1 species